UGUGCUUCUCUUCUUCCUCCCACCCUCCACCCUCAAGUAGACCCCAGUGUCUUUCAUUCCCCAAAAGCUAACAUUUUAAACCAGCCCAAAAUAUAAUAAUUUUAAUCUGAAGUGGCAUGUGAUUUCUGUUAAUGAUAAAAAAGAUAACAUUUGAAAAGGAGUCCUUUUGAUAACCCAUGUAUUAAGGACUAAAUGUUUGUACCUUCUCCCACCCCCAGAAUCAUAUGUGAAACCCUAACAACCAAUGUGAAUGUAUUUGGAGAUAGGGUCAUAAGCAGAUGGUAGAGUUUAAAUGAGGUCAUAAGGGUGGAGCCCUAAUCUGAUAGAGCUGUUGCACUUUUCAGAAGAGGAAGAGAUACUGGAACGUGUCUCUGUCUGUGUGCAUUCAGAAAGAAGGCCAUGUGAUACAGUUUGGAUGUUGCCUCCAACCAAAUGUCAUGUCAAAAUGUAAUCUUCAGUAUUGGAGGGGAGGCAUGGUGGGGGGAGAUUGGGUCCCCCCACCCAGUGGAGGCAAGUUUCUCAUGAAUGGUUUAGCACCAUCCCCCUUGGUACUGUCUUCACAAUAGUGAGCUCUCAUGAUAUUUGGUCAUUUAAAAGUGUGUAGCACUUCCCCCUUCACGUUCUCUUGCUCCUGCUCUGGCCAUGUGACAUGCCUAUUCCCUCUUCACCUUCUGGCAUGACUGUUAAGUUUCCUGUGGCCUCCCUGGAAGCUGAGCAGAUUCCAUCAUCAUGCUUCCUGUACAGUCUGCAGAACCAUGAGCCAAUUAAGCCUCUUUUCUUUAUAAAUUACCCAGUCUGAGGUACUUCUUUAUAGCACUGCAAGAAUGGACUAAUACGCUAUGUGAAGACAAAGGGGAUGUCUGCAAGCCAGGACGAGUGCGUCUACCAGAAACUGAGUUCUGCUGGACUUUGAUCUAGGACAUCCAGCCUCCAGAAUGGAAUGUGCCAUAUGUGGAGACCUGCAUGGAAAGGAACUGAGGAUGCUCUCUCACUAAAAGCUAGAAGGAACUGAGGCCCUCAGUCAACAGUCUACAAGACACUGAAUCUUGCCAGCAGCCAAGCAGUGAGCUUGAAAGCAGAUCUAUCAUCAGCUGAACCUUCAGAUGAGACCGCAGCCUAAGCAGAUACCUUGGUUGCAGCCAUGUGAGACAACCUGAAACAGAGGGCACAGCUAAGCCUCAGCCAGGUUCAUGACCCUCUGAGGAAACUGUGAGAAAGCAAAUGUCAUUUUAAGCUAUUUAAUUUUGGAGGUAGUUUAUUACACAACAAUAAAUAACUAUUAUAAUUAUCUUGAGGAUUUAUUUCCUGGGGAGAAUACAUGGAAUUGCAUAUAUAGGUCCUCAUAUGCAGAAUACUGGUACCCUAGAGAUGUUCACCCCAGAGAUGUUUUAGGAACCUGUGAAUAUGUUACAUUAAAUGGCAAAGUUUUCCUGGAUGGUUUAAGUUUAAGAUGGAAAAGUUUUACUGGAUUAUCCAGUGGGUCCAAUCUAGUAACAUGAGUCCUUAAAAAUGGAGAAUAUUUUUUGGCCAUGAUCAGAGAGACAUGUGAUGAUGGAAAAAGUGUCAGAGAUGCAAUGUGAGGGGACUAAAACUGCUGUUGCUGACUUUAAAGAUGGAGAGAGGGGAACCCGAGUCAAGGAAUGCAAAUGGCCUCUGGAAGCUGGAAAAAGCAAGAAAUGGAUUCUCCUUUAGAGCCUGUGGAAUAAAAUGCAGUCAUGCUGACACCUUGAUUUUACCUCAGUGAGACCAAUACUGGAGUAUGACCUUCGGAGCUCGCAAAGGCCACAUAAGGACAGUGAGAAGGCAGCCACCUGCAAGCCAGGAAGAAAGGUCUCACCAGAUACCAACCCUGCCAGCAUGUUGAUCUUGGACUUCCAGCCUCCAAAACUGGCCUUCUGCUCACAUGGGCUUCCGUGCACCUGCUUCAGGAGACAGCAACACUUGCGCCCGCACCGCGGCAGGCUCCCAUCACCUGGUGGAUAUGCCGCGCCGAGUCUCAUCACACCUUAGUGAAGGAACACAUGGACCCAUAUGUUAGCGGAUGUAUUUACAUCGUUUUAUACAGAAAGGGGAAGAAAACUGCAUACCUCAGAAAGGGGUUGCUCCUCACUCUGAGUACUAGACUAAAGAUAAAAAGACUAGAUAAAAGUACUAGACUAAAGACAGAGCUGACCCAUGACAGAUGGAGUCUUGCUCUGUCACACAUGCUAGAGUCCAG
rnacentral:lncRNA from 1 species